GCGGGGUUAGUACAAUGGUAGUACAUCUGCUUCCCAAGCAGGCGACGCGGGUUCGAUUCCCGUACCCCGCU
rnacentral:tRNA from 1 species